UACGUAGGGGGCGAGCGUUGUCCGGAUUUAUUGGGCGUAAAGAGCGUGUAGGCGGUUAGGUAGGUCCGUUGUGAAAACUCGAGGCUCAACCUCGAGACGCCGAUGGAAACCAUCUAACUAGAGUCCGGAAGAGGAGAGUGGAAUUCCUGGUGUAGCGGUGAAAUGCGCAGAUAUCAGGAGGAACACCGAUGGCGAAGGCAGCUCGCUGGGACGGUACUGACGCUGAGGCGCGAAAGCGUGGGGAGCGAACAGG
rnacentral:rRNA from 1 species